GUAUGGUGGUUUCAGACUGUGUUCCGUGCUUCCUGAUCAUAGAGCUAAGAAUUUGCCUAGUGAUUGGUUGAUGCCACCACCAAUUUCACCUUAUCUCCAAACACCGCCUGCUAUGUCUAGAGAGCUGGCGCUGAAGUCUUCAUCUCAACAACAGUACAAUGGCAGGAAACCAAAAGCAGGGAACUGCAAGCUCUUUGGUAUUUCCCUUAAUAGUAGCUCCAUUCCAAUUGAGCCUGCAUUAUCAGAGUGGUUGGAGUGUCUUUGUGAGUUCCAAGAGGCUUGUUGCUGGGGAUGCCUUCAUAUUUCUAAGGUUUGGUGCAAUCUUGAUGUCUCUAUGUCUAUACAAACUUACUUUCAUGCAUGAAGUGUGAGUAAUGUGGAAUUUGUAGGGCUGAGAAUGGGGAGCUUCGAGUUGGCGUUAGACGUGCCAUGAGACAGGAAGGCAACGUUCCAUCAUCAGUCAUAUCUAGUCACAGUAUGCAUCUUGGUGUGCUGGCAACAGCUUGGCAUGCUAAUCAGACUAAAACCAUGUUCACGGUGUAUUACAAGCCCAGGUAUGUGGUUUGAAUUGUGCAUUCGUGGAGUUUACUGAUGCCAAAAUAAAACUGUCUGUUAUCAAAGAUUAAUUUGGAUGUCCAACUUCUCUCUCUCUCUCUGAAAAGAGAUGGCUACUGGCUACUGUGGGAGAUGGAACCAAACUCACCCUCCUUCAUAGCUCAUAAAAAUUGUGGAUGGUCUUUCCUUCUGUUGGUUGUUGACAACAGCCCAUUGUUAACCUUAUCGUCUCUUUUAUAAUUCCUCUGGAUGCAAUUGAAUUUUGCUACAGUAAGCAUGUGACAUUGCUGCUGUCAAAUGAGCAUAUGAUGAAUCUGUUUGAUUUUAUAGGUGCAGACUUUCACAUUUCAAUUUUUUUUUUCAAAGGUAUAUUCAAAUUUUAUUUUUGUUUGGGAAAGGUACACCUUUCAAAAAAAAAAAUUUGAAAUGCGAAAGUCUGCACCCAUAAACGUAUGCACAAUAUAUAGAAGAAAGAAAAUGAUCCGAUUAUAUUGCAUGUUUUGCUCUCUUCUAAUUGUUAUUCUCCUAUAAUGUGGCAGGACGAGCCCAGCUGAGUAUAUUGUCUCUUAUGAUCAGUACAUGGAGUCCAUGAAAAUUAAUUAUGCAAUAGGAAUGAGGUUUAAAAUGAGAUUUGAAGGUGAAGAAGCUCCAGAGCAGAGGUAGGCGGCAUGUUAGAAUCCUGAAGAAUAAACUGAACUUUUAUGGAGUAUUUGAAUAAUAGUUAUCUUCUAAUUUGAUAAUAUUACGAUUAAAUGUUAAUUCACAAAGUUUUUAGGUUUACUGGAACGAUAGUUGGUAUUGAGGAUGCUGAUCCGAAAAGAUGGCCAGAAUCAAAAUGGAGAUGUCUAAAGGUAGUUGCUCCUGUAUUUGAUGAAGCAUGUUCCCGCUUUUUAGAUCUCAUGCUGAAGUUGUAUCUCUUAAUCUAACAUUAAGGUGCGAUGGGAUGAAACUUCCUCCAUUCCUCGUCCUGAGAGGGUUUCACCCUGGGAAAUUGAACCCGCAGCUCUUAAUCCGCUUCCAGUGUCCAGGCCAAAGAGGCCUCGAUCAAACAUCUUGCCCUCAUCUCCAGACUCUUCUGUCUGUACAAGGGAAGGUAUUUUUCAAUCUGACUGAGUUUUCUUUUGGCUAAUUAUUUUUUUACUUUAUAUCCAUCUGACUCAAAUGGGUUCUAUAUAAUUUUUUCAAUGUAGCUUCAUCUAAGAUAACAGUGGACUCUUCAGCAGCCAGUGGCUUUCCUAGGGUCUUGCAAGAACAAGAGUUUUCCCCCUUGAGAAGCACUUUUCUGGAGAACCAUGAGUCAGACUCUUCUGAAAAGCAAAUAUUAUGGCGACCUUCAUUGGAUGAUGAGAAGGUUGAUUUUUCCACAACCAGAAGAUAUGGAUCAGAUAAAAGGUUUCCUCUAGGAAGGCAAGAGUCAACAGUCACUAAUCUCUCAUCAGGUUUUGGGACGCAAAUCAAUUCCUCCCAUGAUUUCUAUAUGCCUCGUGGGGAUCACGCCGGAGCUAUUGCGAAUCGUCUAAUGCUAGAGCAUGAAGGGAAAUUCAACUCAAUCAGAAACACGAGGUCUAAGAUUCAUUCUGGUCUGUCACUUAAUUUGAUGGAUUCUAACAUGAAAACUCAUGGACAAGAGGAUAUGAGGUAUGGUGGUUUCAGACAGUAUUCCGUGCUUCCUGAUCAUAGAGCUAAGAAUUUGCCUAGUGAUUGGUUGAUGCCACCACCAAUUUCACCUUAUCUCCAAACACUGCCUGCUAUGUCUAGAGAGCUGGCGCUGAAGUCUGCAUCUCAACCACAGUACAAUGGCAGGAAACCAAAAGAAGGGAACUGCAAGCUCUUUGGUAUUUCCCUUAAUAGUAGCUCCAUUCCAAUGGAGCCUGCAUUGCCACACAGAAAUGCGUCUAUUGAGCUAGCUGAUCGCAUGCUUCUUGGGGUGAACUCUCAUAAAUCCACUGCACUUGAAUCUCAUCAAAAUUCUAAAUUGGUUGAUAAUCAAGUUGCCAAUAGUGAGCAGGAGAAACAAUGUCGAACCUAUGUUCCCAUUUCUAGCAAUGGGGAAGGCAAAGGUCAUUCUGGUUCAACGAGGAGUUGCACCAAGGUUUUGAUUUGGACUUCCAUAUUCCUUUUCAAUGACACUGUUAAUUCACGUCUAAUAUAAAAUGGCAUUGCCAUCUCUCUAUUAUUUUCAUUUCAGGUUCAUAAGCAGGGUAUCGCCCUUGGAAGAUCUGUGGAUCUUGCCAAUUUCAACAACUACAACGAAUUGAUUGCUGCAUUAGACGAUCUCUUCAAAUGUAAUGGGGAACUGACUUCUCAGAAUAAGAAUUGGCUUGUGGUUUAUACUGAUGAUGAGGAUGAUAUGAUGCUUGUUGGAGAUGACCCAUGGGAGUAAGAUAUCCUUCUUGAUUCUCCCUAACAUGUUCCGAAAGUUUGGAUUAAUUUUGAUUACCAAAACUCAUUGGUAUCGUCUUCAUGUAAUUGCUUGUUUAUUGACUGUUGCCUAUCUAUCUCUGGUUAAAAACAGUGAAUUCUGUGGCAUGGUUCGGAAGAUCUUAAUUUGUACAAAAGAAGAGGUCCAGCGUAUGAACCCAGGGACGUUUAUUUCAAAUGGAGAGGAUUAUUCAUCAGUUCCGGAAGGCUUGGAUGCCAAUGAAGCAAGGGAUCUACGACGUCCUUCAACAUCAAGCCCAGAUGAUUGCUAAGUUGUCCACCUUUAUCUAGGUAGUUAUUUUAUAUAUUCAACUUUUUGAGCUACUAGGAAAAUGUAUCCUGGUACAAAUGUUAAUUUAUUCUCUUACCUGCUCCUGUUGUGCCCCAUUCUUUAAAUUUUUUUUGGGAAGUUUCAUAAGUGUGUAGAGAUAUGUAUGCCAUGCCCAUCGGGGAAGGGUUUGGGGUCAUUUCGGAGAUUUGGAGUAAAAAUGGGAAAAUUGGAUUCUGCAUAUCUUUUGAUGUCUUUUCCUUCUUCUUUGUUGGAUGGAUUCUCUCCCGUAGCUCAGUAUAUGAUUACUUAAUCUCGAAUGUUAUUGGAGGAUCUAUGAUAUCUGCUGAUAAGUAAUCUUGAUGCUAAACAGGUAUAUAUAAAUGCAUGACUUGGAGAAGACUUUUAAUGGAUCAGCUGUUGAUUUUUGGUGACAUCAGAUAGCAUAUGCUUAUUCUGCCCCUUCAACCUCUCGAUGGCUGGAUUCUCUAUGGUUGAGAUUUUCAGCAUCUGGAGUUUUAAACCGUUCCAAGGCCAAUUUAUUUCACCAUAUAGUUUAUGAUGAAAUGCGUAUCAUAUUAUGAGCAAGGCGUAGAUGCCAUAUUUUGCUUUCAAUCUUCACCUUGUACUUAUCCAACCUUUCUUUUUUUUCUCAAAGCAAGUAUUGAUGCAAGCAAGAGUUGAUAUAUAACCUGCUACGCCUCAUUUUGAUUUCUGUAGUAUUGAAUCAAGCAAGAGCGCAUAAUAUAUGUGGUGUCAUCAUUAUUUAGAUGAACUAUAGAUGGAGAGAAUAGUUCGUAUUUGUUUUGCAGAACGGUUUUUGCAGCUGCCUGGGGAGAGAUUGGUUUGAAAAGCAAUGGAUUUUGCUCGCUCAUUUCGAUUUAGUUUAGUGUUUCCGGAGUUAUAAAAGGCUCUGCUUAUUUUACAAGAUUUUUGCACCUGAAAUUCAAGGGAGCAGAAAAUGGUCAACUUUAUGAAGUUCUGGAUUCUCGUUUUCUUUUCUCAUCAUGUUUGGUCCAGAUAUUGAAUUGUAUUGAAGUUGAAAAAUAAGUUAAACUAUUGUUUAUAACUCUUUUGUCAUGUCCAACAUGAAAAAAAAUGUGAAACUUAAAAUAUAUUUCCUUGGAUAUUUUAAUGUAACAUUAUUUUUUGCUAUAUAACCAAUCUAAAAGUUAGUCUUCAAUAAUAUUUAGAGCCUGUUUGAGUCACAUUAUAAUGAGAAUGAGGAUGAGAAAUAGAGUCGUUAUGUGCUCCACACCGGAGAUAGAAAUUCAAAAAUGGUGAUUUGAUGUGAUGGAUAAUGGUCAUAUUUUUCAUUUUAAUGAGGUAAAGAUGGGGUUCAAACAGGGGCUUAAAAUAGCAAGUUGAUCAUUAUGACCAGUUCCAAUAAUAAAAAAUGUCCAAAAUAUUGUUAAGUCGUGUGGAUUUUGUAUACGCAACUUUACAAAGUUAAGUUUAACGUCUCAAUUUGGACUUGGACAAAAAACUUUGAAAAAAUACAUGUUCCUACGUGGGUUGUAUGCGAUUUAACAACAAUUAAGGCGACUUCUGUCGUGAGAUUAAUGGUGCAACUAUGGACAAGAUUGGAGAUUAAAUUGCCCUUUUUGAAACACUAAUGGUCAAGUUUCUAUUGAAACUUUAUUUUUCCUUUUCUUUUCUUUUCUUUCCGUUCCUUUUUUUUAUUUUUUAUAGUUAGUUUAAAAUGAAAAAUUGGACAUUUGAAGUUUGAGGAUUCACUUGCUAGAGCAAAUUAAUAAAGGACUUAAGUUCUAAUUUGUAAAGUUUUGAAACACAACUAUAAUUUACCUUUUAUGUUUUUUGUGGAAAUUACGGAUUCUAAUAAAUUAAAAAUCCUCAUUUCAUAAAUAAGAUGACAUGUUUAGUAUUUCACAAAUCAUAAUUUUUUAAAUUAAUUAAUGUAUUUAAAAAUUAAUUAAGUAAAACAAUUUCAAAUCUAAUUAAAUCAAUCUCAAUUCCCUCUCUCUCUCUCUGCCUUAAACACCGCCGUCGAAUAUCUCUCCCACAAAUCGACCAUCUCUAGACAAGCGUUCACCGAAAGAUCACGAUCAUAAAUCCACUGCACUUGAAUCUCAUCAAAAUUCUAAAUUGGUUGAUAAUCAAGUUGCCAAUAGUGAGCAGGAGAAACAAUGUCAAACCUAUCUUCCCAUUUCUAGCAAUGGGGAAGGCAAAGGUCAUUCUGAUUCAACGAGGAGUUGCACCAAGGUUUUGAUUUGGACUUCCAUAUUCCUUUUCAAUGACACUGUUAAUUCACAUCUAAUAUAAAACGGCAU
rnacentral:lncRNA from 1 species